UGACCUCAGAUCAGGUAGGACUACGCGCUGAACUUAAGCAUAUCAAUAAGCGCAGGACAAGAAAUAACCAUGAUUCCCCUAGUAACGGCGAGUGAAGCGGGAAAAGCUCAAAUUUGAAAUCUGGCAAAGUUUUAUUCUUUGCCCGAGUUGUAAUUUCAAGAAGCUGCUUUGAGUAUUGCUACGUCGGUCUAAGUUCCUUGGAACAGGACGUCAGAGAGGGUGAGAACCCCGUCUUUGGCCGAUGUGCUUUGCCAUAUAAAGCGCUUUCUAAGAGUCGAGUUGUUUGGGAAUGCAGCUCUAAAUGGGUGGUGAAUUUCAUCUAAAGCUAAAUAUUGGCGAGAGACCGAUAGCGAACAAGUAGAGUGAUCGAAAGAUGAAAAGAACUUUGAAAAGAGAGUUAAAUAGUACGUGAAAUUGCUGAAGGGGAAGCAUUGGAAACCAGUCUUACCUUGGUGAGAUCAGCUGUUUACUUGUAGACAGUGCACUCUGAACCUAGGUAGGUCAGCAUCAGUUUGGGGACGGAAAAGAAUAAGGGAAAGUGGCUUUUGGGCUUGCUCAGAAGUGUUAUAGCCCUUAUUGUAAUACGCCACUGGGGACUGAGGUCUGCGACUUUGUCAAGGAUGCUGACAUAAUGGUUUCAAUGGCCCGUCUUGAAACACGGACCAAGGAGUCUAGCAUCUAUGCGAGUGUUGGGUGGCUAAACCCAUACGCGAAAUGAAAGUGAAUGCAGGUGGGAACUUUUGUGCACCACCGGCCGAUCCGGAAGUUUGUCAAUGGAAGGAUUUGAGCAAGAGCAUAGCUGUUGGGACCCGAAAGAUGGUGAACUAUGCCUGAAUAGGGCGAAGCCAGAGGAAACUCUGGUGGAGGCUCGUAGCGGUUCUGACGCGCAAAUCGAUCGUCAAAUUUGGGAUAGGGGCAAAGACUAAUCGAACCAUCUAGUAGCUGGUUCCUGCCGAAGUUUCCCUCAGGAUAGCAGAAACUCAGAUCAGUUUAUGAGGUAAAGCGAAUGAUUAGAGGCCUUGGGGAAGUAAUUUCCUCAACCUAUUCUCAAACUUUAAAUAUGUAAGACGCCCUUGUCGCUUAAUUGGACGUGGGCUUUCGAAUGAGAGUUUCUAGUGGGCCAUUUUUGGUAAGCAGAACUGGCGAUGCGGGAUGAACCGAACGCGAGGUUAAGGUGCCGGAAUGCACGCUCAUCAGACACCAGAAAGGUGUAGUUCAUCUAGACAGCAGGACGGUGGCCAUGGAAGUCGGAAUCCGCUAAGGAGUGUGUAACAACUCACCUGCCGAAUGAACUAGCCCUGAAAUGGAUGGCGCUUAAGCGUGCUACCCAUACCUCGCCGUCUGGGUUAAUUAUGAAGCUUAGACGAGUAGGCAGGCGUGGAGGUCAGUGACGAAGCCUUGGGCUAAGCCUGGGUCGAACGGCCUCUAGUGCAGAUCUUGGUGGAAGUAGCAAAUAUUCAAAUGAGAACUUUGAAGACUGAAGUGGGGAAAGGUUCCAUGUGAACAGCAGUUGGACAUGGGUUAGUCGAUCCUAAGAGAUAGGGAAGCUCCGUUUGAAGUACACGAUUCUUCGUGUCACCUAUCGAAAGGGAAUCCGGUUAAUAUUCCGGAACCAGGAUGUGGAUUCUCCACGGCACGUAAAUGAAGUUGGAGACGUCGUGGGAGCCCUGGGAAGAGUUCUCUUUCUUUUAAACCAAUCACCCUGAAAUCGGUUAUCCGGAGCUAGGGUAUAGUGUUGGUAGAGCUCAGCGCCUCUGCUGGUCCGGUGCGCUCUCAACGGCCCUUGAAAUCCAACGGAAGGAAUAGUUUCACGCCUGGUCGUACUCAUAACCGCAGCAGGUCUCCAAGGUGAACAGCUCUAGUUGAUAGAACAAUGUAGAUAAGGGAAUCGGCAAAAUGAUCCGUAACUUCGGGAUAAGGAUUGGCUCUAAGGGUUGGUACGUUGGGCCUGGUUUUGACAAUUGCUGGACUGGUUAGGAACUGUCUGAUUCCCCGGAAGACGGAUAGAUCUUGACUAGACCUUGGCAGUUGGAUGGCCUUGGUAAGGCCUCUACUUGUAGAGUGUCCCUCACUGGCGUACGCUUAACAACCAACUUAGAACUGGUACGGACAAGGGGAAUCUGACUGUCUAUUAAACAUAGCAUUGCGAUGGCCAGAAGUGGUGUUGACGCAAUGUGAUUCUGCCCAGUGCUCUGAAUGUCAAGUGAAGAAUUCAACCAAGCGCGGGUAAACGCGGGAGUAACUAUGACUCUCUUAAGGUAGCCAAAUGCCUCGUCAUCUAAUUAGUGACGCGCAUGAAUGGAUUAACGAGAUUCCACUGUCCCUAUCUACUAUCUAGCGAACCACAGCCAAGGGAACGGGCUUGGCAAAUCAGCGGGAAAGAAGACCCUGUUGAGCUUGACUCUAGUUUGACAUUGUGAAGAGACAUAGAGGGUGUAGCAUAAGUGGGAGCUUCGGCGCCAGUGAAAUACCACUACCUUUAUAGUUUCUUUACUUAAUCAAUGAAGCGGAAUUGGAUUCAUUUUCCACAUUCUAGCGUUAAGUUCUUUACGAACCGAUCCGUGUGAUGACAUGUCAGGUGGGGAGUUUGGCUGGGCGGCACAUCUGUUAAAGAUAACGCAGGUGUCCUAAGGGGACUCAUCGAGAACAGAAAUCUCGAGUAGAACAAAGGGUAAAGUCCCCUUGAUUUGAUUUUCAGUGUGAAUACAACCAUGAAAGUGUGGCCUAUCGAUCCUUUAGUCCCUCGAAUUCGAGGAUAGAGGUGCCAGAAAGUUACCACAGGGAUAACUGGCUGUGGCAGCCAAGCGUCAUAGCGACGUUGCUUUUUGAUCCUCGAUGUCGCUCUUCCUAUCAUACCGAAGCAGAAUCGGUAAGCGUUGGAUGUUCACCACUAAUAGGAACGUGAGCUGGGUUUAGACCGUCGUGAGACAGGUAGUUUUACCCAUGAUGAAUGUCGUCGCAAUGGUAAUCAACUUAGUACGAGAGGACCGUUGAUUCAGAUAAUUGGUAUUGCGGCUGCCUGACAAGGCAAUGCCGCGAAGCUAUCAUCUGCCGAUAACGGCUGAACGCUCUAAGUCAGAUCCGUGCCAGAAGCGACGAUACCUUAUCCGCGCAUCUUGGUGCAUACAAUAGAGCUUGCUCCUGUAUCGUAUAAGGUGGCAUGGCUAGUAGAACGGAAUGUUUAUUAGUUUGUCCACGAAUUCCAUUGAAAUUUGUGCGGAGUCGAGUCAUACGACUUAAAUAGUGGAACGGGGUAGUUGUAAGCAGUAGAGUAGCCUUGUGUUACGAUCUGCUGAGAUUAAGCCUUGUUCCCAAGAUUGUU
rnacentral:rRNA from 1 species